GGCGGGAGGGGUUGCGGUGGUUCGCGCUCUUUGUCAGCGCGUGCGCGAAGCGGCAUGAAGCCUUCUGGGCGUUCCGAGCGAGGCGCUGCAUUUCCGCGUGUCGUUCUUAUCCCAGAGGAGGAAAAGAGCUGAAGAUAGAGAGAGAGAAAAAUGGAGGACACAGCAGGAUUUCAGCAUUGUUAAAACCUGAGGUACUGGGACAUAUACAUGCAGCCCAGGGUGAAGACAGCCAUGAAGCACACACAUCCUACAGAAUGACUGCGAUAUGGACUACAGUUCUUCACACUGACAGCAUGAGAAGAAAGAAGAAACAGUGAUGAAUUCACUCUGUGUAUUAAGGAUCUCUACCACAUUCCCCCAUUAACCCCUGCCUUACAUCCUCAUCCUGCACCUCUGCAAGCUCACUUGUUAGUGCAGUAUCAUGGCUUAUCUUUAGUGCCUCAACUCAGGGUGUGGUUGGAGGCAGCUGGGUGCUCCUUCCGUAUAAUAAGUGUCCUAGCUCGGGCUGAAGGGGCAAACCCGCUCUCUCUGGACUCUGUAUCCAUGUGAGCAGAAUGACAAAACAUUUGUUGUAAAAGUUUGCGAAGAACUGCUGCAGAGUUAUUUGGAGUCUGAUAAGACUGACUGGGAACAAAAAACCUCACUGACACAGCACAAGAAUUAAUCAUCUUGAAUCACAAUAAUUUGUCAUAGAAAAAAAAUAUACUAAGAUCAAAGGCAAUUUUACAGGAGUGAUUAUUCGGACAGAUGUGGCAUGUGGAGCUGUAGGUAUUAUAGCACACAGCAUGGAAGCGCCAGCCUAUGCAAAAUGUGCAUGCUGCUAUCAGAAGGGUAUGCACUAAAAAGUAAAACAUUCAGAUGAAUUUUUCAACCAAGUGGUAGACAGCAUUGCAGCCGAUGGCAAGUGUUUACCUGACAGAAAAAGGAGUAUGUGCUACUUCAUGUUGGACAGUGAUGCCCAAACCAGUGCAGUACAAGAAUCGUAAGUCAAUUCACAAUGACAGAAAAGCCAAAAGAAGAAGACAGAAGCCCAUUACUUGGUAUAACUAUGUUCUACAGCUUCCUCAGGAGAAUGUCUUCAUCAGGGAAGCAAAGGAGAAAAACAACUUAAGAAAAAUCUCAGGAUUUUCCAUAGCAUAGUGACAAAUUGCACCUUUUUCAGUUUGUUAGCUAUUAUAUAUAUCUCUGGUAGGGAAAGGAUCAGUGGUACAUAUUUAUCUUUCUCCACUUAUCCUAGGAUGAAAGUCUGUAGAAAAGUACGUGUGCCUUUUAGCACAAAGUGGCUGGUGCUGUAUAUUCCCUGCAUCUGAUGCCAGUAUAGAGGAAAAAAUUACAUGGGACAUUGUUUAAAAAGAAUGGAAAGAUGAUUUACAACAUGUUGAAUAAAAAUACUGAGAAGAACGUGAGAUGGUUAGCUAGGCAUGCAUAAACCCUCGAGAAAGGUAUGAAGAUAUGCUGCAUUGCCUGAAAAUGGAAGGCGACAUGGGAAAAUCUACGACUCUUCACAGGUGCCAGAAUGAAACUAAAUCAAGCAAAACUUCAGAAGACAGAGGUUCCUCAAAAGCAAAGCAGGCUUUGCUUUACAUAGGCUUGAAAAACAAAACCACAUACCCUAUGCUAUUUUUCUUUCUUUGCUGAGCUAACCUAAAUAGAAGAUAUUACAGAUGAGUGUACGGGUCAAAAGCAUUGGAUAAGUUGGGAUGCAGCUGACACAACCAUAAGUGACAGAGACAUUAUUUAGCUUAAGUAGUUUGCAGUUAAGUAUAGACUUAGACAUAAUCUUGCCAAUGGAACAGUUCCCACCCUAAUAUGUGAGUAAGAAACGGUGCCAGAUUAAUAAAGUUUAUUGAAGAGAAGCCAGAGCCAGAGCCUGAUCCACAUUUAGAACAACCAAGUUUGAGAGCAGCAUCAGUGAUGCAUGGAGCUGUCACCUGAGGACGUUUUUUCCUAUGGAAAACUGAAAUUCAGAAUAGCUGCAUUAUUAGACACCAGAGACUUGUAGAAAUGGAGGGUGAGACAGCAAGGCAGACUCCUCGGUUAAACUCACUGUUCUCAAAUCCAUUUCCUCUGAGAAUAAGGAUCAGAGUUGAUAUCAAACUUCACGGGGAUUUUGAGCCUCCUGGCAGUUACAAAUGUGUGAUUUUAAGAGUAACUGCUGCGUAAGUAAUCCGUUCAUGUUCUUCCUGCAGCAUGCACUCCAUGCCCACUGCAGACCAUCAGCACAUACUGCUCAUAAUCCCCAUCCCAGUCCAUUCUUUUCACUUCGGCACGUGUGAAAGACGCAAGGAUUUUAUGUUAUGGAAAUAAGGUAAAAUCCAGCCUUUCAUUUCUGUUGGAAUGCAGCUGGCCAACCUCCCUUACCCUCCCUUUACCAGGGUAAAGGGGCUAUGAACUUUGCAGAGGUUUACAAGAGGCACCUGACAUCCCAUCAGUCUGCUGCAAGCGCAAUGCUUUUAUUUUGAGACUACUGGAGAUGAAAUCUGGGAAUCUUCUGUGUGCCAAAGUCUUCCUGUAGAAUAUGGAGCUCCAUCAAAAUUGAGCUGGUGUGAAACUGCCCUGAGCCUACAAGUGCCUGCAGUACAAGUGCCUGCUGUACCACCACUCUCAUCUCUGAAACCAGUUUCUCCAUCACCCCACAACUGAUGCAGAAGUUGCUGUAGUCAGGCAACACAUUGCCACAGCAGCACCCUGGGAACAGAGGAGCAGUUAUUUUCACCACAGCUUUCCUAUUUGGUUUAGCUCUGUCAGGCAAGGAAAGCACGUGCCACUUUCCAGCAAGAACUCAUUCAGCUUGAGCAUCUCCGUAUGAAACAACUAAUGGAACAGAAAGGCAAUGAGAAGAAAUCCACCAAGGAGCUACUUAUCCAAUUAGAAAAGGAGCUCUAGACAGACAACAGCUGGCGAUGUUUAUUUCAUAGAAGUGGACACAAAGCAGACUACUGGGAAGUGAAGCUGCAGUCCUGCAAAGCGUGCUUAUUAAUGCCACAGGAGAGAGGCAGCAAUUCAAAAUCUGUUUUUCAGGACCGUCAGCUAAACUAACGUGAACAGAGAUGCACGUGUGGUAAAGCAUCCUUCCUGCCACUCCAUCAGACUGCGAAUCAUUUAAGAUUUAUCACUGCUGAUGAGAGAUACCUGACCUCACAUAACUCUGCACAGAACUUUGUUGUAACAGUUGCAGUUAAAUAAAGUGUUACUUCUCUUAAGUCUUAAAUAAAAGAACAGUGGAAAACACUGGUAAGAAAUAAGCCUUACCCCUCAUACUGACCUGUUCGAGCGUCUUGCCAGCCCACCCAAUGGCCUUCAUCUUCCUUCUUAUCUCCCAUUGCUUCUGAUAGGACAGAAUGCGGUUAAGAGGCCAGGGGUAAGGAGAGCCAUAUCUUGGGUGAGUAAUCUUUGUUAAGAAACAGAAAGUUACUUUGUUACAAUCUAAAAAUGCAGGCAGCUCUAUUUACAAAACAGCUAAGAGAGCAAUAAAGAAAAAGAAUGUUGUGUGAUACGUUGCAAUUAUUUGUGCAGAAUUUAUUGUUUUCAGUAUAACCAUUUGAAAUUAUUACCUUGGAAACAUAUGCAAAACUCAUAUUUGUUCUGCAGUCACAUACCUCCAGUAAAGUUACAACUUCCCUGAAAUGUAUACGCAAGCAGAAUUCAAGUGAGAAGACUGUAUCAUUAACGGAGCUCAAUGUUUCAUUUAUGAGUAGGGACUUCCAUUUGUGAGCAAAAGUGUUUUCUCAUUAAAUUUUAAUUAAGAUAAAUGUUGCAGAACCACUCACCUCCUCUACUGUAACAUCAUCACACCACUGCAGAUAGAGCUAGGAACAGAAAGAGCACUUACUACAACUUCCUAAUAAACGAGAAUACAGAUACAAUCAUUUCUCACUAGUAGAAUUUUCCUUUCUAUAUUAGAUUAAAUUUCCAUUUGGUGCCUUCUAUUAGACUUCUGAACACAGUGAAGAAAUUAAAACCAGAGUCACAAGCCCAGCUCCAAGUUGCUGGCUCGCAAGCAGCGGAACCAAGCUGGAGCCGAAGGCCUGCUGCAGUUGCCUGUGCCACACACAGCUCAACACCCAGGUUCCCUCAGCCAUGUGCCUGCGAGCAUUUCCAGCACCGGCCCCACGGCCCCACAUCACAUUAACAGGCCACGGGCACGACCCGCAGGGCAGGCCAGCUCCAGCAAGGCACAGCAGCUGUGUGGAAGGCGGCAGUGGGGCUGCACAGCCAGCCAGGACUGCUGGCGUUUUCCAUCCGUGCAAAUCAGGCACUUCUACAGCUACAGGGCGUGCUUCAGACAGGUAAAUGGAGCUGUACACAUGGCUUGUGUCUGCAGGAAUAUGUCAUCAAGUAGUCCACAGGAUCCACGGAAUUUAUUCCUGUCUCAUUUCACCAUAAAAACUGAUGACCUGAUCUAAGAUUUUAAUCUAAGAACAAACAGUACUUCCAGAACAAGAAAAUAUCAUGAAGCAUUCUUGCCUAUAAUCCCUUAUGGAAGUAUGAGCAGUUACUAUGGUUUGCUGUACCUCCGCUGUCAGGAGCAUAUUAUUGACUAAUUCCAUGUAGGCUUUCAUCUCAGCUUUUUGGACUUCAUCCAACCCAUCGCUGAGAGAAUGGCCCUAAUGGGGAAAGAAAGAGACACGUAAGAGAGGAUAUUGGAAUAUUCAGCAGUGCCUGACCCAAAGACCUCAGAAGUCAAUGAGCUUUGGUUCAGAUACUGAUCUGUCACACAACACGUCACAAGUUACACACGUACUUUCUACAUAAAGUGCCCUUUAGAAUGAAAAAGAAAUAAUCGUAAUGUAACAGAACUGAUCUGCAAUAAAUGUAGUUAUUACCAGUUAGAGGUGAGCACACAGCCUGUGUCUAGAAGCAAACACAGAUUUACAUCUGUGCUACAGCUUUAUGAAGUGCUCAGUGAGAAGACAAUGUUGUUGAAAAUACAACUUCAAAAUUUACACCAGUGAUUUCUGGGUUUAAAAAUUCAGAGACAGAGACGUAGAAAACCAGCUGCAGAAACUGGCAGUGGCACGCACGUGUCCUGCACAGAAUUUGCUUCCUGAAUUUGAGGUAAUGUUAAAUUGAAACAUUUCCACCUCGGCACUCUCACUUCAGAGAGUCUUUCUUUUGAACCAGCACCAGAUUGCUGCACCGUUGUAACAAUGAAGUAACAUUCCAGCAGAGCACAGCAACUGCACAGCAGUGCUAAAGAAGACUGGUACACAACCCAGUAAUAGAUGCAGACUGUGUGUAAUUACCUUGGCUUUCACAAACUGGACUAUGGGCCCGAGUUCAGAUACUACUUGGUUUCCCACAUGAAUAAAGGGCACUUUGCCUGUAAAAUGAGAAAUGUAUUUUAUUAGGAGCUUUUUAUACAUGUCAACUAUCAUUUCCUAUUUUCAGUGCAAUUAAAUAUCACAAGUACGCCUGAA